rnacentral:rRNA from 1 species
AAGACAACUUUACGGAGUUAACGAUUGACGGAGCGAAGCGACGUCAAAGCGUUCAUUAAAGUCGAGUUGGCUUAGGGAUACGUUCGUUGGGUAGGGGAGCGUUCUGUAAGCCUGUGAAGGUGGCCUGUGAGGGUUGCUGGAGGUAUCAGAAGUGCGAAUGCUGACAUAAGUAACGAUAAAGCGGGUGAAAAGCCCGCUCGCCGGAAGACCAAGGGUUCCUGUCCAACGUUAAUCGGGGCAGGGUGAGUCGACCCCUAAGGCGAGGCCGAAAGGCGUAGUCGAUGGGAAACGGGUUAAUAUUCCCGUACUUGGUGUUACUGCGAAGGGGGGACGGAGAAGGCUAUGUUGGCCGGGCGACGGUUGUCCCGGUUUAAGCGUGUAGGUGUGUGUUCCAGGUAAAUCCGGUUCACUUUAACACUGAGGCGUGAUGACGAGGCACUACGGUGCUGAAGCAACAAAUGCCCUGCUUCCAGGAAAAGCCUCUAAGCAUCAGGUAACAUCAAAUCGUACCCCAAACCGACACAGGUGGUCAGGUAGAGAAUACCAAGGCGCUUGAGAGAACUCGGGUGAAGGAACUAGGCAAAAUGGUGCCGUAACUUCGGGAGAAGGCACGCUGACACGUAGGUGAAGUGAUUUACUCAUGGAGCUGAAGUCAGUCGAAGAUACCAGCUGGCUGCAACUGUUUAUUAAAAACACAGCACUGUGCAAACACGAAAGUGGACGUAUACGGUGUGACGCCUGCCCGGUGCCGGAAGGUUAAUUGAUGGGGUCAGCGCAAGCGAAGCUCCUGAUCGAAGCCCCGGUAAACGGCGGCCGUAACUAUAACGGUCCUAAGGUAGCGAAAUUCCUUGUCGGGUAAGUUCCGACCUGCACGAAUGGCGUAAUGAUGGCCAGGCUGUCUCCACCCGAGACUCAGUGAAAUUGAACUCGCUGUGAAGAUGCAGUGUACCCGCGGCAAGACGGAAAGACCCCGUGAACCUUUACUAUAGCUUGACACUGAACAUUGAGCCUUGAUGUGUAGGAUAGGUGGGAGGCUUUGAAGUGUGGACGCCAGUCUGCAUGGAGCCGACCUUGAAAUACCACCCUUUAAUGUUUGAUGUUCUAACGUGGACCCGUAAUCCGGGUUGCGGACAGUGUCUGGUGGGUAGUUUGACUGGGGCGGUCUCCUCCUAAAGAGUAACGGAGGAGCACGAAGGUUGGCUAAUCCUGGUCGGACAUCAGGAGGUUAGUGCAAUGGCAUAAGCCAGCUUGACUGCGAGCGUGACGGCGCGAGCAGGUGCGAAAGCAGGUCAUAGUGAUCCGGUGGUUCUGAAUGGAAGGGCCAUCGCUCAACGGAUAAAAGGUACUCCGGGGAUAACAGGCUGAUACCGCCCAAGAGUUCAUAUCGACGGCGGUGUUUGGCACCUCGAUGUCGGCUCAUCACAUCCUGGGGCUGAAGUAGGUCCCAAGGGUAUGGCUGUUCGCCAUUUAAAGUGGUACGCGAGCUGGGUUUAGAACGUCGUGAGACAGUUCGGUCCCUAUCUGCCGUGGGCGCUGGAGAACUGAGGGGGGCUGCUCCUAGUACGAGAGGACCGGAGUGGACGCAUCACUGGUGUUCGGGUUGUCAUGCCAAUGGCACUGCCCGGUAGCUAAAUGCGGAAGAGAUAAGUGCUGAAAGCAUCUAAGCACGAAACUUGCCCCGA